ACGACUCUCGGCAACGGAUAUCUCGGCUCUCGCAUCGAUGAAGAACGCAGCGAAAUGCGAUACUUGGUGUGAAUUGCAGAAUCCCGUGAACCAUCGAGUUUUUGAACGCAAGUUGCGCCCAAAGCCUUUUGGCCGCGGGCACGUCUGCCUGGGUGUCACGCAACAU
rnacentral:rRNA from 1 species